UACGAAUGGGGCAAGCGUUGUUCGGAAUCACUGGGCUUAAAGCGUGCGUAGGCGGACAUGAAAGUCAGGAGUGAAAUCCCGGGGCUCAACCCCGGAAUUGCUUUUGAAACUCCAUGUCUGGAAUCCGGGAGGGGUUAGUGGAAUUCCGAGUGUAGAGGUGAAAUUCGCAGAUAUUCGGAGGAACACCAGUGGCGAAGGCGACUGACUGGACCGGCAUUGACGCUGAGGCACGAAAGCGUGGGGAGCAAACAGG
rnacentral:rRNA from 1 species